rnacentral:lncRNA from 12 species
UUAUGCUUCACCUUUAGCAGAGGGCUGACGCUUGUAUACCGGAUCAUGAUAAACCCAAAAAUCCUUCUGCCAAGCUUUGAAAUGAAGAGAUGACUUCAUCUGAAGGAAGAUAAAAUCUAGAUAUGCAAACAUUGGCUGAUGUUUAUAGCACCUUCUCAGCACAAAGUUUCUCUUAUGGCACCAAGAAUUUGCUGCUCUGCAGCUGUGAGAGAAGAUGCUGCAGUGCCACAUUCACCUGGAUCUGCAGCUGUCCCUGCCUCACAGCCCAACACAUCCCAGCUCAGCAAGAACACCUGAAUAAAGGAUCAUAUCUCACUGCUCCCUCAGAGCCAGGAGGGAUGUCAUUGCCAGAGUUUUCAUACCACUAA